UACGUAGGGUGCAGGCGUUAAUCGGAAUUACUGGGCGUAAAGCGUGCGCAGGCGGUCUGCUAAGAGAGAUGUGAAAUCCCCGGGCUUAACCUGGGAACUGCGUUUCUAACUGGCAGGCUAGAGUGUGGCAGAGGGGGGUGGAAUUCCACGUGUAGCAGUGAAAUGCGUAGAGAUGUGGAGGAACACCGCUGGCGAAGGCAGCCCCCUGGGCUAACACUGACGCUCAUGCACGAAAGCGUGGGGAGCAAACAGG
rnacentral:rRNA from 1 species